GGGCGAUUAGCUCAGCUGGCUAGAGCGCCUGCCUUACAAGCAGGAGGUCGCAGGUUCGAGCCCUGCAUCGCCCACCA
rnacentral:tRNA from 1 species